GUACGAUCAGUUUUGUGGAAUUGAAGCAGUUCCAGCAACAAAAGAUAUGUUUUGGACUCCAGAUAUUAUUAUCAAAGAAAGCAUCAGAACAGAGUUUGGGACAAAGGAGUCUCCAUAUUUACAGUUACUCUGGUGGGAACUGUCAGUCUCAGUUGAUAUUUUAGCCCUGACCACUGCUUGUAAGAUGGAUCUCUACAGAUUUCCCUUCGACACCCAAAUCUGCAAUAUAACACUUCACUCUACAGUGCAUUCAAUUGAUGAACUUACCAUCGACCCAUUUUCUGACAAUAAAAACAUCACGCAUGAAUCCAAGGAGUUCUUUCAAGCCCAGGGAGAGUGGGAACUCCUCAGUAUAGAUACUUCUAAAUCUAAUGCCACUAUUCUAGAUAAUUUACAGGAUCUGCUGAUAUACAAGGUACAGAACACAGAGUAUAGAGUGGGUGGCAAGACUCAUUAUUAA
ensembl:lncRNA